rnacentral:rRNA from 1 species
AUGCAUUUAUUCAACCUGAAUAUAUACACUGAUCAGAGAUGGCUCCUUUCGAAGUUUGUCGAGAGCUACUACAGAUGGGCGGUGCCUAUGGAUAGGCACGGCAUGGUGCCAGACCACAGUUUCCUCCAGGCCAUCAGCUCAUGCUUGGUUGCCAUAUUGCUAGACAAAUUCUAUGACAUGGUUGAUCAAGGAAGCAUUGUUCUCAAGAAAGCAAAGAGCUUCAGUUUCUGCAAACAAGGUGUGAUUGUCGAAGGAGAAUCCACGCCGAUAUAUAAAGAGCGAUGUGGUCAUAUUCGUCACCGGAUACAAAGCAGACCAAAAGCUCAAGGGGAUGUUCACAUCAUCCUUGCUCAGAGACACUGUGACUGGCCCGCCAUCCAGUAG